rnacentral:rRNA from 1 species
GAUGAACGCUGGCGGCGUGCCUAAUACAUGCAAGUCGAGCGAACAGACGAGGAGCUUGCUCCUCUGACGUUAGCGGCGGACGGGUGAGUAACACGUGGAUAACCUACCUAUAAGACUGGGAUAACUUCGGGAAACCGGAGCUAAUACCGGAUAAUAUAUUGAACCGCAUGGUUCAAUAGUGAAAGACGGUUUUGCUGUCACUUAUAGAUGGAUCCGCGCCGCAUUAGCUAGUUGGUAAGGUAACGGCUUACCAAGGCAACGAUGCGUAGCCGACCUGAGAGGGUGAUCGGCCACACUGGAACUGAGACACGGUCCAGACUCCUACGGGAGGCAGCAGUAGGGAAUCUUCCGCAAUGGGCGAAAGCCUGACGGAGCAACGCCGCGUGAGUGAUGAAGGUCUUCGGAUCGUAAAACUCUGUUAUUAGGGAAGAACAAAUGUGUAAGUAACUAUGCACGUCUUGACAGUACCUAAUCAGAAAGCCACGGCUAACUACGU